AAUAUUAGUCAAUGCUCGCAAGAGUGAACUAGCUAACUGAAAUUACAGGAUCCAGUACAUUUGGUGAAUGUAAUAACGUAAGGGAAAAAAAUGAUAUUACCUUACUAUUAGUGUUGUCCAAAACUGGUGCCAGAAGACUCGGUAAGGCCAGAGACGCAAACGUUAGUCGUCCUAAUCAGGCGUAAAGGGUAUGUAGGCUGCUUUAAAUUUUUAAUAUUUCCAAGCUAAUGUCUCUCUUCUCCCCAUCGGAGUAGAAAACAUGAAAUAUAAGAUUAAUAAAAGCUAGAAUCAAAUGGAGGAUAAGUCAAAUAAUACCUAGUGUAGGGUUUAAAUCUGUUGAUGUUAGGUAGAGUACUAACGGUGAAAACUUUUUAUCUAUAAAUGAUUGACGCUGAGAAACGAAGGUGAGAAUAGGAAAUAGGAUUAGAUACCCAGAUACCUCUCACAGUCAACGAUGAAUGGUGGUUGUUAGUUAGUUUAAUUUAACUGAUAACGAUGUUAACACGAUAACCAUUCCGCCUUGCGAGUACGGUUGCAAAACUGAAACCAAAAAAAUUAGUCGGUCUCGAAGCAAACGAAGUGAAGCAUGUUAUUUAAUU
rnacentral:rRNA from 1 species